GGACUACUCGGGUAUCUAAUCCUGUUUGCUCCCCACGCUUUCGCACCUCAGCGUCAGUAUCGAGCCAGGAGGCCGCCUUCGCCACUGGUAUUCCUCCACAUAUCUACGCAUUUCACCGCUACACGUGGAAUUCUACCUCCCUCUCUCGUACUCUAGUUACCCAGUAUCGAAUGCAGUUCCCAGGUUGAGCCCGGGGCUUUCACAUCCGACUUAAAUAACCGCCUACGCGCGCUUUACGCCCAGUAAUUCCGAUUAACGCUCGCACCCUCCGUAUUACCGCGGCUGCUGGCACGGAGUUAGCCGGUGCUUCUUCUAAAGGUAAUGUCAGGGCUGAUACGUAUUAAGCAUCAGCUUUUCUUCCCAAUUGAAAGUGCUUUACAACCCUAGGGCCUUCUUCACA
rnacentral:misc_RNA from 1 species